GCUAUUGGAACAAACUGACACUACAGCCAUCUGUUGCAAAACCCUCAAAACUAAAUCACACUCCUAAUAAAAUACUUGUACAGGCAUUAUACAUCCACGAUCAUGCAAAUUUACUUAAUAAAGAGUGAUAUGUUUGAAAAUAAUCUCGAUAAUUCAUGAGAGCAUGAGAAAAGCUGAAAUUCAAAACUCGAUCUAUUUCAGUUUGUAGUUCAGUUCAAGGAUUAAGAGUAAAAUGCUACGACAACAGCAGGAUUAUUGCAUACUGGAUUUAUUUAAUAGCACGGUCGAGAAAAUCUCGCUUUGCUGAAAGAGAAAUCAAAUUGUGGAUUUAUGCUACUUGCGUACUACGAGACUCGCCGUUAAGAUUCGCUAUGCGCAUCGGGCUAAUUAACACCCGCAUCGAAACGGUGGCGUUAAUGCCUGGACAUAUACGGAAACUGUUAAGAAAUCAGAUGAUAAGUGGGAAAUUUGAGCAAGUUUUCCUCAGUUUAUAGAUCGGGUGCACUCGGCAAAAAAAAAGAACCGAUGUUUGACAAAAGAAAAAAGAAAAGAAUUGAAUGAUGCCUCGGCCCGAGAAACGCAGAUUUUGUUCGACCUCCAUACGAGAAAGGCUUGCUCGUGAUUCCCUCCGCGACGUUACGUUUAAGAGUACGCGAUACGAUCAUUUGAGACCACAUUAAAGCUCUUG